UCCUGUGUCUUCACAUGGAUCUCCCUUUUCUCAGAAGUGGCAAUGAGUGCUUUGAAGAAAAUCAGCUGGAUAAUGGGGCCAGGAUUGCCAAAGAGGACCACAUAGGGAUGGUCGGGGAAAAGGGGGACAUCCAAGGUAAGCCAUGAAUGGCAAGAAGAACCAGCGCUGCAGGCAUGUAAGGGAAGAGCAUUCCAGGGAAAGGAAACAAAGAAAAUGCCCUGAGACUGGAGUAAGCUUGGUGGGUUCCAGGAGCCUAGAAAAGACGGUGUGUGUGGCCAGAACGCUGCGGGAGAUGACAUCGGUGGGGUUGGUGGUCCGUCAUGAACAUGCAGCUUGGCCUUUUACUCCCUUCAUUCCCAUCAGGCCCUGUGGCCUUCGGUCACAGUCAAGACCACUGCACAUUUGUAGCAGGAAA
rnacentral:lncRNA from 1 species